rnacentral:tRNA from 1 species
GCUUUCCUGGUGGAAUUGGUAGACACGGUAGAUUCAAACUCUGCUCCCAGGUCUCUGGGGUAUCGGUUCGACUCCGAUGGUGAGCA